rnacentral:misc_RNA from 1 species
AGACAAUAGUGUUUGAAAGUGACCAGGUUAUCAUCUGCUCCUCCAAACAGGGAUGUAAAUGGUGAAUUAAUGGUUGCACCUGCUUUGGCCUUGACGUCUCCUUCAAAAUGGCUUCUUUACAACUCAGAUUCCUGCCGUUACAAUGUCCUCGUCCAAUCCACCAUCCUUCAGUUGUUGAGGAGAAUAGAAAUAUUUAACAUGACGUUAGCU